ensembl:lncRNA
CCCAUACUGCCAGAGAUGUAUAAUAGCGGUAAGAAUGCUUGGUUCAAAUCCCAGUUCUCCUUCCUAGCUGUGUGGCCUCAGACAACUUACCUGAUAUCUCUGAAUCUCAGUUCUCUGAAUCUCUGAAAUGGGGAUCAUACCUGUACUUAUUCUUGUAGGAUUGUUGGGAAGAUUGAGUGACUUAAUGCACAUUCAAGAGUUUAGAACAGUGCCUGGCACCAAGUGUAGUCUCUGACUGUUAUAACCUUCUCUGAGCCUGUAAAAUGGGGUAACCUCACCUACUUCUGGGGUCAUUCUGAAGGACCAAAGAGCUAAUGGAAGUGAAGCACCUAGUCAUAUGCCUGGCACACGAGAGAUGCUCAAAAAUGGUAAUCUUAAUGGAAGUAGGAUUAUAUAGUAGGCUGAGUCCUUAGUCUGAGAACUACCUUGCGUAAUACACUUUAUGUCUCUGAGGCUCAACUUGGACACCUGUAAAAUGGGCUCUGGAGCUGACAGGUAUAGACUGCUUUAAGCCAGCACCCAGGAAGAUCAUCCAACUGGAAAAGCAGUCAUCAGAGAACAGAGAAGCCUGAGCUCUUCAAAGAAGUCUAAGGUCAUGGAACCAAACAAGCUUCCUAAUUCAAUUCAAAUAUCUCUUCUCUGACCUGCACCACAAGUUCUCCCUUCACACUCGCUUUUCAUAUCCGAUAAUUCUGAAAAUGACAUGUAUCUCUCCUGUAAGCCUUUAAGUUCCAAGAGAUAAGAGGCUGCAUCUGUCUUGUUCGUCAGCACGUAUGGGGCCUUGCUUUGCAUGGUGGUUGCAUGCGCGUGCUUUUUUCGUGCUAAUUCAUUGAGCUCUUGGUGCAAUGCCAGUGCCCAGUAAAUAUUCACUGAAUGCAUGAAUGAAUCACAGAGUCUUCAGUAGUUAUCCAGGCCAUUCACCCACUACAUUCCUGAAUCCUUGCCUCAAAAUUCCUACCAAGUGUCUGCUAGUAUUUGCCAACAAAACAGCUCUAGUGACAAGGAGCUCUCUACUGCCCAAGGCUGCCUGUUUAUUUUUUGUGUAGUUCUGUUGGCUAGAAAGUUCUUCUUAAUAUGGAGCUGAAAUAUAUCUGCUUGAGGCUUCCAGUCAGUUUCUUGUUCUAUCCUUAUGAUCACAUAAAUCAAGCCUACGCCCUCUUUGUGACGACAACCUUUUAGACAUUUGAAGUUAGUUCUCACACCCACCUCUUCUCCAAGCUAAUCACAAAAUCAUUGAUGAGACGCAUAUUUGUUGAGUACCUACGAAAGGAAUAGGCUAGAGAACACAAAGAUGAAAAGAUAUAAUACCUGUCCUGAGGUCUCCAGUCUUGGGGAGCCAGAGAAAUUUAAGAGAGAAUGUGAUAAGUGCUAGGGAUGGUGGAGACACAGGGGAAAGAGAGCCCAAGCCCACUCAAGGAGACCCUUGAGGAAGGCUCCACAGAGGAGUGGGCUAUAGAAUAUGCUCCAAGCAGGCCAGGGAGGAGAGGAUGUUCCAAGAGGAAGGGAGAGCAUACGCAAAAAUCUGGCAAUAUAAGAGUCCAUGGCAUGGAAAGAGAACUUUAAGAAGUUCAUAUGGCUAGGAAGACCAGAAGUCCCAGCUUGCUCA